ACAGCAAAUGCGCGCGUAGGUGACCACACGCAGCAGCGUCGACGUGAAUACCAUUGUGACCGGAGGAGCACGCUACGCACAAUGAAGAAACUGAGAGCCAUUCCCACUACACAUGCCACUUGAUAGCGCCAGAAGACACAGCCUAGCGAGAAGCAGCAGCACGCUCGGGGCACGGCAGAACAUUUUUGGGGCGCCAUGUAUAUUUACAACAACUCAGAGGAGGUUAUGGCGGCAUCAUGGGAGCCCUCGUUAGAAAGGUGCAUAGAAGCACGGUUGGGCGCGUCUAUGCGUUUUGCGAACGUCUCAUUUUCUUGGUAUCCCAGUCGCUGCUAUAGGUGCAAAUUGGAAAAUCAUGUUGUCAACUCUGCCUUUUUUCCCAACGAAGCUGACGUGGGCAUAGAAAUUCUGGCUUUCGAGGCUGUUUUGGAGCAGUUCGGCGCAAUUUUUGCGAUUUUCAUGCUUUUGGAGCAACUUGGCGCAGGAAAACGGAAUUGUAUCACAAAUGCGCAAUAUGCGCAGCUGUCUCACCCCUGCAAACGCACUUUUGCAGUGCUGGUCAAGCACGCUUGCAUGUAUGACUGACCUCUGUAGUUUAGAUGAACUUGUUGUUGGGCAAGUUGGUGCAUCUUAACAAAAAGUAAAACCCUGUGCAACCGCACAACCCACACAUGAGCACAGUUUGUGUGUCUGGUAUAUGUGUUUUUGUGUUUUUUCUGUGGUGGCACAGAGGAAUUUGUCAUGCUGCAACAGACGGUGGGGCAGCACCAUUGCCGUAUCAGGAGGCAACAGUUUCCUCAAUUCCGUGGAGGAAUCAUGGAGUGAAACCUAGCUCCCAACAAACGUGGCCAGCAGAUCACUGACGAGGAAGAGGAGGCUCAAGUAACACUCCUCAACCAAGCUUGGCGGGCUCAGCUGCUGAGGCCUGUGGAGCCCUGGACUGGGAACCUCACCGACAUGCUUCUCCAACCUCUUUCCUUUUACAAUAAAUAAUUCUCAGUUAAUA